UCAGAGAGAGGAGAUUCUAACUCCCACCCUUGGCUCCCAAAGCCAAAAUUCUAAGUUUAACUACCCUCUG
rnacentral:tRNA from 1 species